rnacentral:tRNA from 1 species
GGUUUUAUUAUCUCAAGGCAUUGAAGAGUUUAAUCAACCAACAUUUGAUUUUUCGAGCAUGUGUGAAACUGCUUUCUUGUUUGAUAUCAAGGAUAAAACUA